AGACAGAUUUGCUUUGUCUUUCUCAAAGGUUAGAGGCUAUUUGGCAAGCUUUUGCUGCUAAGAGUAUGGGCUCAUCCUCCACCCACACUCGCCUCCAUCUCCUCUUGGAUUUUGCAGUCCCGGGUCUCUUCCCUCUUUAAGGCUACCAUCAUUCUCAAGUUGCUCAUAGAGGCCUCAUGUUACUUGAUAUGGCGGGAGCGUAAUGCUACGAUCUUCUCAUCCAUCCAUUCUUCCAGUUCAGUUGUGCAAGCAGCAAUUGGAUUGCUCGCUUCGAGACCGGCUUAUCACGCUUGCUUUUUAUUUUGGUUGUAUAUGUCUUCCCUUUUAGUUGUCCUUUUUGUUUGAACAAGUUGUAUCAACAUCAACAUGUACCCAAAAAUAUUCAGAAUAUUG